UACGUAGGGGGCAAGCGUUGUCCGGAUUCAUUGGGCGUAAAGAGCGUGUAGGCGGCUUGGUAAGUCCGCUGUGAAAGUCCAGGGCUCAACCCUGGAAUGCCGGUGGAAACUGUCAAGCUUGAGUCCGGAAGAGGCGAGUGGAAUUCCUGGUGUAGCGGUGAAAUGCGCAGAUAUCAGGAGGAACACCAAUGGCGAAGGCAGCUCGCUGGGACGGUACUGACGCUGAGACGCGAAAGCGUGGGGAGCAAACAGG
rnacentral:rRNA from 1 species